rnacentral:rRNA from 1 species
GAUGAACGCUGGCGGCGUGCCUAAUACAUGCAAGUCGAGCGAACGGACGAGAAGCUUGCUUCUCUGAUGUUAGCGGCGGACGGGUGAGUAACACGUGGAUAACCUACCUAUAAGACUGGGAUAACUUCGGGAAACCGGAGCUAAUACCGGAUAAUAUUUUGAACCGCAUGGUUCAAAAGUGAAAGACGGUCUUGCUGUCACUUAUAGAUGGAUCCGCGCUGCAUUAGCUAGUUGGUAAGGUAACGGCUUACCAAGGCAACGAUGCAUAGCCGACCUGAGAGGGUGAUCGGCCACACUGUAACUGAGACACGGUACAGACUCCUACGGGAGGCAGCAGUAGGGAAUCUUCCGCAAUGGGCGAAAGCCGGACGGAGCAACGCCGCGUGAGUGAUGAAGGUCUUCGGAUCGUAAAACUCUGUUAUUAGGGAAGAACAUAUGUGUAAGUAACUGUGCACAUCUUGACGGUACCUAAUCAGAAAGCCACGGCUAACUACGUG